AUGAGUUGUUUGAGCUGGAACUGUCGGGGGCUUGGGAACCCCGAGGCAGUUUGUGAGCUGCGCAAGAUUGUGCGGUAGGAAGAUCCCGCAAUACUGUUUGUCAUGGAAACCAUAAUUAGGGUUACGAGAGUUGAAUUGCUGCAGAGACAGUUGGGCUUUCCAGGUUGCUUUGCGGUUGAAAAAAUUGGACUAAGAGGCGGUAUUGGUCUAUUCUGGUCAGGUGAAGCAGUGUUGAAUUAA
rnacentral:rRNA from 1 species